AUCGCUUCUUGGCCUUUUGGCUAAGAUCAAGUGUAGUAAAAAUUGUGUUAGAGCUUCCAUCAGUAGACUGGAAGCAUACUGCAUAUAUAUAUAAUCAUAAUAUUCAAAAAGGACAAAUACAGAGAGUCAUCUUUGUUUAUUGGAGGGAGGGAAUUUUUCAUUUUAGCACAUGUAUAUACGCUUGUGUGUAUAUGCGUGCACUCAUGUGUAUGUGUUCAUGCACACAUA
rnacentral:snRNA from 1 species